rnacentral:lncRNA from 1 species
CAAUAUUGUCUAUCUUCAGCAGUGUCUCCAGUUAUCUUGAUUCCUGUAACACGCUAAAAGCAUACAAUUACUAGAAAUAUUUAGAAGCCUUGGCCAAUCUUCGAAUAUUUCCCAGGAUAUUCAGAAUUUUCCAAACUAAGAUGACUGCCACAAGUUGGAAUAUCCAGAAGCAGAUGCUGAGGCGGAGAUUGGUGUGUGAGAUGUUUAUGAAAGACGAGAGGAGGCAGAACUGGGCGAGGAGUAAGAGGAAUUGCAAAGCAGGCCUGCGUGUGCCCCUGCAGCAUAGUGUGCUCCCGUUCCAGAGUCCUCCCUCAGCCCCGUACCUCCCCGGCCCCCGUCAUGGGAUGCGGGUGCCCCCGAGAGACGCCUGUCAGCAAGGAGGCUCUCUGACGCUAAAGCAGCCGCUGCAUCCAUCCUUCUUCUUCCACUUGCACAGACUUGACCGAAGGACACUUGUGUACCACUGUGCAACUUCUGAUCUGCACUUCCGGGGUGAUUAACAAGGCCCGUGAGCCAGCCCAGGAGGCAGCUGGAAGCUCCUUCUUCACAGGCCCGCUAGGCCAGCAAUAACUCAGCUGCACUUGGGAGUAACUGUGAAGCACAGAAACACAGGCCACUGAUCCCCUAGGCGACGGAUCCUCUUAACCAGAUCCCAGAAGUGCCUGCAGCUUCCCCCAGACCGUGGACACUGGAGAAGUGCAAAGUAGGAGAGAGUGAAGUGGAAAGGGUUGUGACUGAACCAACUGCAGUUGUCAAACAUCUUCCAUUGGCUCAUUUCACAAAACACAGAACCACGUGCACAUGUCGUAGGCUUGGAAGAGGUUCCUUUUGAAAUUUAAGCAUCAUUUUCUCCCCAGACAAUCUAUUUUCAAGCGUACGUGUGAAUGCAGUGUCCUGGGGAGCAGAGACCACAGUGACUAAUCCUGCUUGAGGGAACAAGAGGAAAACUUUACCAAGGAGACAUCUGUCUUGCAGGCAGAGAGGAGGCAGCAGGUAGAGAGAAAAUACUGGUCUUAAAAAUCAAGAGGAAACACUUAUAAUGGAUGUAGCUUUAAGUAACUGGUG